rnacentral:lncRNA from 1 species
UGACCAUAAUCAUCCAAGCUGAGUUGUCAUAGGCAAAGGAGAAAUAAGACUAAUGUAUAUUUAGAGUUAGAGUUAGGAAAAGCAAUCUCUUAUUCAAAGAACAGUGACAAAUGGGGCUGUUCAGAGGAGAAAUUACUUGAGCUUUUCAUGGCCUAAUAAUGUAUGUACUAAAUAAUUCCUCUCUGAGAAUGUGUUUUUCCAUGUGGGCAAUAACUUAAUUUGAAAAAGCCAUACAUAAUCUGAUAUAAUUUGAAGACUUCCUCACAGAUAUAGCCUUACAUCUUCCCCAAACUCCACUUUCUUGCUUACUAUUUGUAUAGAGCAUUAAAAAAUCAAUAUUUAUCAUAUGCAGCCAAAGGGAAAUAUUAUGUAUAUUAACUCUUAAAAGGAUGCACAUGCAAUUAAAUAUAUUAAAUGAAUAAAAUAACAGCCAAUAACAUUUUACAGCCUAAAAUGUAUGCUCAUAUCACCCAGAAGGAUGAUUGCCACUAAUAAAGCUAUUUAAGAUUUACAUUGAAAAUAUUAUGUUAGGAAUGUAUUUUAUGAAUUAUAAAAUAUUGGUCAUAUGUGUUAUGAAUGAAUUUUUAGCUGUAGUGCAGUGCUUCACUCUAGAAAUCACAUAUCAUAGUGGAUUUAUGAAAUCAAAGGGUAUUCAUUAAAUAAUGCCCUAGUCAUUUUCUCUUCUAAAUGAGAAGUAAUUUGUGAGGUUAGAGAGCAGAUUAACAUCUCAUCUGUUUUAUUCUGAACUGAAUCAUACUCAUGUUCCUCUUUAAUAACAAGUGUUCCCUGGAUAUCCUGGAAAGGGCAUAAAUUUGUUUGUUUUCAUUGCAGAUUUAGAAUGCUUUUCCACAUUGAAAACUGAAAUGUGUAGGCUUAAAAAACAAUGACUUUAGAAAUAAAGGAAUGUUUUUAAGGUUAAAAGAUAAUAAUUCAUCACCACACUCAGCUGUUCACGGUGGCCUCAUUUAGAAGGCUUUUACAGGAAGACUAGCUAACUGUGAUAAAACAAUCUCCAUUCCUCCCCAGUUCCACAGUGGUGGGCUGGCAGUUUCCUUUCAUUGCAUUCUGAAUGUUGGUGUUGUUGUCAUGAGAUAUUAAGGAUUUGCAGAUUUUCGAGAAAUCCUUCAGAAUCCCUUCAUGUAUUGUCUAUUAGUCUCUAAUUUCUCCAUGUGCAAGAAACUCACAGAUGCUCCAUAAGCCCCAAUGAAAAAUAUAUAUCUGUAAACUUAAAACACUGCCAAAGUAAGAUGAGCUUUUAGAAUUUUAUGGCUUUUUAAUAUCAGGAUUAUUAAAAUUAAUAUCGAGCUUUAAUGGCCAUACAGUUAAAGAAAAAACUUAAAAAAAAGCCCUUCAAAACAUUAUGUCUAUCAAAUUAGAAAUAAAAAUAAAGCAGAAUAUUUAAGGACAACUAAGUUAAAAAAAAUUCACGGAUAGCAAAAUUCACAAAAUAUGAGGAAAGUUUAAUAAAAUGGAAUAUUUAGAAGAAAUGCAUAAAAGGGUGUGGUAAAAAAUAUGUUAACAUUGUCUUAAUUCUAUGGAUGGAAGACGUUCAAAAACAUUUCAGUCACAGACACAUACAAGUUAUUUGUAAAUCUUGAUUGAUCAGGAAGAUUUUUGGGGUGCCAAUCAAUAAGUAAAAGUAAAUACAUGAACUGGCUAUUCAUACAUGCCAUAGUGUUUGAAAGUGCUUUGAUAAAAUGAAGUAGAUAAUCACAAUAUUUCCUAUAUAGCCAUUAUUAAUAAGUAUAAAAGAAGAUCAGAAGUUUAUUUUGCAGAAAUACUUAAUCCUUGGUUCUAUGCUUUGUUCUCUUGUUCUGCCCUUGGGUAUCAGCCCUUCUUUUUCAUGAAGGGUUACAAUCACAUGUUGACAUCUGAGUAGUUUUCUCAGUUUGCUUCUUGCCAGCAGAGUUUUAUGGUUGCAAUAGCCUCUUCACUUGUUACUCAAUGACCAAGAUGACAGUAUUUCCAACAUAACUUUCUUAAAAAUUCUUGGUGUCCUCUAAAUCAUUUUAGGUUUUACAUUAUUUAACAAAAUGUAGGAGUUCCCUUGUGGCUCAGUGGAUUAAGGAUCUGGCAUUUGGCAUGGUCACCGCUGUGGUGUGGGUUUGAAUGCCACAGAUGCAGCCAAAAAUAAAUAAAUAAACAAAUAAAUAUAUAUUUAUGUAUCUUCCUUUCUCCUAUGUAACAUAAGCUGUAUUAAUAAUGGUUAGCAUUAUCUCAGUAUGUAAGUUACAAAUGUCAAAGAGGGAUGUGACUGACUUAGAAGAGGAAAGAUACCAUUCAAUAAUAAAUGAAAUGAUAUUAAGAUCCUCCUUUCUCACUUGGAAAAAGUGUUAGUAUGUUUUCCCUUGUACAAGGUGAUACUUCCUUCAGGUCAUGUGGAAACAUGGUUUGUUAUUUUCCUUCUUUGGAAUUUAAAUAUGAUUAAAGAAUUGUAUAUAGAUUUGGGUUCACAGCGGUGGAUGGUGCUGAUUUUGUAACAUUCCUUAGCUAAAGUGAAACUAAAAAUAUUCCAGCAUUUCUUGGUAAUGUUCAGAUUAGGUGUGCCACAAGUAAAAUAGCAAAGGAUUUGUAAGUUGUAAGUGAUAUGGCAGUCAUUAUGCUUCUGCACUCUAAGUCACUAUUACUGAUUGGCUGUCUCAACCUCUUGGUACAUGAAGAAUUCAGGUCUGAAAUGCCUGUACCUCCCACUAAAUUUCCUUCAUUUUAUUCUCCCAACAUGGGCCAGGUUUUUGUGUAGUUCAAUAAGAAAGAACACUCCUUCCUCCACAGUUCAUCCGUGUCACAAAGGUUGGAGGCAGUGAGACCCUAGCAUUGGUUAAACUUAUUCUUACUCUCCUACUCCAUAUCAAGCUUUUCAUCUUAAGUGUUGUCCCAUAGUUACAGAUGUAACACCUGAUACACAGGUAGCAUGUUUUCAUGGAUUUCUUUACCAGGUGCUACAAAUACGUUAGGUUUAAUUCUUACAAUAACACCUUUAUCUCAACCCCUGUUACAUGAUCUAUUUCCAAAUGAAAUUCAACAUGGUAGAGCAAUUCAAUACUGAAGUUUAAUUACUCAAAAGUAUUUCAAGAUUUUUGGACAUACAAAUGGUAUGCAUUUUUAUGAGUUAAGAAAAUGCUGUUAUCACUGAAAUACAGGAGUACAAAUUGGGUCUUCUUCCUACACUAGUAAAAGUUAACUAUUAGUCACUUGCACUCUGUUUUAUCUUCUGAUUCAAGAACAACAAUUUGAACAAGUGACGGGAACUCCAAAAGAAAUUAAUUAAAGCAUAUGAUUUGAUCACUUCAUACUCAAAACAAUAUCUCAUGAAUUCUCAAUUACCUACAAAAUAAAAUCUAAGUGGUAAACCAAAAAGCCUCAUCUUUUACUGGUAAGCUAUGCCUAUGUAUAUUUAGAACGACUCGAACUGCCCUUUUUUCAGAACCUCCAUGUUUGUUAAGGCACAUUUCUCUUACACAUGCUUUUCCUCUGCCUGAAAUCACCUUGACUGUCCUUUGCAUAGCUAAUAUCUUCUAGUAUUUCAAGUAUAUCAGGAAAUAUAAUCAUCUGAGUUAGAUUAUUUUCCUUCUUUCCAUAUUGUAACAUAUAUUCUAACAUAUUAUAUAUGACUUGCAUCUCACUUCUCUAGCUUCCUUAUUAUUCUGAUUGCUAAAUGAAUGAAUAAAUGGAGUAAUUUAUCUGAAAUUAACUAUAAUUAUGUAACAUUAAAUAUUUGACAACUUAGAUACUAUAACUUAUAUAGUUAAAGAACAUGGAGUUUAUUCGCUGCCUUCCUAAAAAAGGUGCCACUCUAACAGUAGCAACUGAGCCUUGUACAGAUUCUCUCUAACACUUUGGACUUUUUCAGGCAUUCCGAAAAUAUAAAAAACAGAAAACACUUUAACAUCAACAACAAGAAUGGACAGCUAGACAAUAAACUUCUGUAGGACUACAAAUGAAACUAAGAAAAGUAAAAUGUUGUUUAGGACAUGAAAUGGAACAAUUUUCUUUAUUAACUGAAGUGUGUUGGGAAAGCUUUGAUACUUGUGUUUUGGUAAAAUAGAAAGGCAGAGAAAGACAUUAAAGACAAGGAGAAAACCAGAAAAUGUUUUGCUGCAAAUACUUAACAAUAAUGAUUAUAUGCAACUCUCUUGGUAACAUUUGGCAUUAGAGAUUGUGAUUUGGAGUUUGCUGCUGAGAACAAGUCCAUGAGUAAACACAUAAUAUAGAUUCUUCCCUCACAGAGCUACACAUUUGGGAAGCUAUGGCAAUAAUGCAACAUGCACCUUUGGUUAUUAAAUAUUUUAUUUUCUCAGAUAUAUACCAUCACCAUCACCAAAACAGAAACAAAUGCAGCCUAGUAAGGCAGUUGUGUAUGGAAGAUUCAGAGAAACUACAGCCUAAUUUUCAAUAGCCGUUAGAGCCACAUAGAUUAUGAGUAUAAAGACUAAAAAUGUAAUCACCUAAUAAUUGCACUUAGUAUAAAAGAUAGAAUAAGUAAGAGUUUUGCUAAUUCUACUUAAGGCAUGUCUGUACUAGCAAUUUUAUACUCAUAUGGAGACUACAUUUACAAUAUAUAGAAAGGACAAUAUUUUGAGGAUAUGGAAAAGUCCUCACACCCCCAAGUAUUUUAUCAUACACUCGCUGAUGGCUAAUAUUUUAAAAUUAUGCACUAAUUAAUAUUUAAUAAUUUAAUAUAUGAAAAUAAGUGGUAAUAUCCAAAGUAUAGGUGAUGAAUUGGAAGCAUAGGCAAAUAUUCUGGAUCUGUUUGCUAUUAAAACAACACCACCACACAACAAAAAAAAGUAGAUAAAGCUACCACCCAACAAAGUUAUGAUUAAACAAUAUGAAAUAUAUGGAGUAUUAGGCAAAUCCACUAAAAAUAUAUUUUAGCUACCAUAUCCACUUUUGUGUCUAAGUAUUUACCAUCAGAUUAUUCUGGAAAAUAUGUUUGAAAUGAGUGGAGGGGAAUGAAAAUUAUAGGAAUUUCAAAUCAUAGGAAAGGGUGAAUAGCUAGUUGCACUUUGAAUAAAUAAAGACUAGCACCAGAAACAAAGAAUUGAGAACAUCAGAACUGGCUUAGGACUGUUAUAUUCCAAUGAAUUUAUUAAGCACUUAGAUGCUUAAUAAACACCAUCUCAUAGAAAGGAAUAAUAACAUACAUUUAGCUAACUGCUUUGUCGUGUCCCAAAGUCCCAAUC